GACGAACGCUGGCGGCGUGCCUAAUACAUGCAAGUUGAGCGCUGAAGGUUGGUACUUGUACCGACUGGAUGAGCAGCGAACGGGUGAGUAACGAGUGGGGAAUCUGCCUUUGAGCGGGGGACAACAUUUGGAAAAGAAUGCUAAUACCGCAUAAAAACUUUAAACACAAGUUUUAAGAUUGAAAGAUGCAAUUGCCUCACUCAAAGAUGAUCCCGCGUUGUAUUAGCUAGUUGGUGAGGUAAAGGCUCACCAAGGCGAUGAUACAUAGCCGACCUGAGAGGGUGAUCGGCCACAUUGGGACUGGGACACGGCCCAAACUCCUACGGGGGGCAGCAGUAGGGAAUCUUCGGCAAUGGACGAAAGUCGGACCGAGCAACGCCGCGUGAGGGAAGAAGGUUUUCGGAUCGUAAAACUCUGUUGGUAGAGAAGAACGUUGGUGAGAGUGGAAAGCUCAUCAAGUGACGGUAACUACCCAGAAAGGGACGGCUAACUACGUG
rnacentral:rRNA from 1 species